rnacentral:rRNA from 1 species
UACGGAGGAUGCAAGCGUUAUCCGGAAUGAUUGGGCGUAAAGCGUCCGCAGGUGGCAAUGUAAGUCUGCUGUUAAAGAGUCUAGCUCAACUAGAUAAAAGCAGUGGAAACUACAUAGCUAGAGUACGUUCGGGGCAGAGGGAAUUCCUGGUGUAGCGGUGAAAUGCGUAGAGAUCAGGAAGAACACCAGUGGCGAAGGCGCUCUGCUAGGCCGUAACCGACACUGAGGGACGAAAGCUAGGGGAGCGAAUGGG